rnacentral:rRNA from 1 species
GAUGAACGCUGACACCAUGUUUAGCACAUGCAAGUCUACUUGAUCCUUCGGGUGAUGGUGUCGGACGGGUGAGUAACGCGUAAAGAACUUGCCCUGCAGUCUGGGACAACAUUUGGAAACGAAUGCUAAUACCGGAUAUUAUGUGAGUUUCGCAUGAAAUUCAUAUGAAAGCUAUAUGCGCUGCAGGAGAGCUUUGCGUCCUAUUAGCUAGUUGGUGAGGUAACGGCUCACCAAGGCGAUGAUAGGUAGCCGGCCUGAGAGGGUGAACGGCCACAAGGGGACUGAGACACGGCCCUUACUCCUACGGGAGGCAGCAGUGGGGAAUAUUGGACAAUGGACCAAAAGUCUGAUCCAGCAAUUCUGUGUGCACGAUGAAGUUUUUCGGAAUGUAAAGUGCUUUCAGUUGGGACGAAGUAAGUGACGGUACCAACAGAAGAAGCGACGGCUAAAUACGUGCCAGCAGCCGCGGUAAUACGUAUGUCGCAAGCGUUAUCCGGAUUUAUUGGGCGUAAAGCGCGUCUAGGCGGUUUGGUAAGUCUGAUGUGAAAAUGCGGGGCUCAACUCCGUAUUGCGUUGGAAACUGCCAAACUAGAGUACUGGAGAGGUGGGCGGAACUACAAGUGUAGAGGUGAAAUUCGUAGAUAUUUGUAGGAAUGCCGAUGGGGAAGCCAGCCCACUGGACAGAUACUGACGCUAAAGCGCGAAAGCGUGGGUAGCAAACAGG